rnacentral:rRNA from 1 species
CGGGACGGGUGAGUAACGCGUGGAUAACCUGCCUCACACUGGGGGAUAACAGUUAGAAAUGGCUGCUAAUACCGCAUAAGCGCACAGUACCGCAUGGUACGGUGUGAAAAACCCAGGUGGUGUGAGAUGGAUCCGCGUCUGAUUAGCCAGUUGGCGGGGUAACGGCCCACCAAAGCGACGAUCAGUAGCCGACCUGAGAGGGCGACCGGCCACAUUGGGACUGAGACACGGCCCAA